rnacentral:lncRNA from 1 species
CCUUUGAUCUAAGCAGUUAAAAAAGAAGCUAACAUACCAUACAGUUGGAAUUAAGAACAAGAUUCAUAAAGUCAUCUUAUACAUGCAGAAAAAGGUCUUGAUGCAAUAGAUAAAACAAUAAUUUCAAAAAUAAUGCAGAAACAUGGCAGAGAAGGAGCCUAACCUCAAUAUUAUAAAAGCUAUAUAUGAGAAAUGUGAAGCUAACAUCACACUAAACUGAUAAAAAUUAAAGGUUUUCCUCAAAUUUCAGGAGCAAGACAUGAAUGUUGACUUUUACCACUUCUAUUUAAUACAGUUUUCAAAAGUAAAGUCAGAACAAUCAGGCAAAAGUAGAAAUUUAAAAGGAUACAAAUAGAAAAAUAAGAAGCCAAAUUCUCCCUUUUACUUGGUGAUAAGAUUUUAUAUUUCGAAGACUCAAAAAUUGUCACCAAAAAAAUUCUAGACCUGAUAAAUUUAGCAACGUAGUAGGAUAAAAGAUCAACACUCAUAAAUCUAUAGCAUUAUUAUACAGUGAUUCAGCUGAAAAAAAGAAUUCAAUAAAACCAUCACUUUCACAAUAAUCUGAAAAAACACCUGGGGAUUAAUCUAACCAAGGUGGUGAAAUAACUCGAGAAUGAAAACCGUAGAACACUGAAAAAGAAAUCUAAGAACUCAGAAGAUGCAGAGACCUACUUUCCAUGUUCUUGGAUAGGCAGAAUUAAUAUUGUCAAAAUGGCCAUGCUACCAACAGCAAAAUUCAGAUUGAAUGCAUUCAAUACAAUUCCCUUCAAAAUACAAAUGAUGUUUCUUACAGUAUUGAAAAACCAGCCCUGAAAUUUAUUUGGGAUAAUAGUAAUAAUAAUUUGACAAAGAAAUUCUGAGCAAGAAAAAGUGUUGUAGAAGCCAUCACAAUACUCAAUCUCAAAUUUUACUACAGAAAUGAGUAGCAAAAACUGUAUUGUAUUGGCCUCAAAAUAGAUAUGAAUAUCAGUAGAAUAGAAUAUACCACAUAGAGACAACCCACUUGAUAUUUAGUGCCAUCUGAUACCUGACAAGGGCACCAACAUAUAUGUUAAUGGGAGAUAAUGGUACACUGAUCCAUUGUUGGUGGGACUGCAAAUUAUUAUGACAACUCUGGAAAGCAAUAUGGAAAUUCCUGAAAAACCCACCAGUGAAACCCAUAUGACUCAGCUAUUACAUUCCUCUCUACUUUUUCAAAAGAACUACAAAUCAGAAUACUAUGGUGAUACAAUCACUUACAUGUUUUCAGCAGGUAAAUUCAUAGUAAAUACAUUGUAAGAUCAACCCAGAUGUCCAUCAACAGUUGAAUGGAUGAAGUGCCCAAAAUUCAAUGGUAACUAGAUCUUCACUUCUGGAGCUAUAGCACUGCUGAAUGGCUCAAAGCAUAUAAACUUGUACACACCAAACAAAAGAAGAAUUGGAACUCUGAAUAUAUUAGAAUAAUUAUUGAAAAAUGGACACAAUGACUGGAUUUCCACAGCACUUUGUCUGACUUUUCUUUGGGGUAAACACUGUUUGUUGGCAACAGGUGGACUCAUUUGGCCCAAGGCCUGCAGAAGUCUUCUGGAUGUUUUGACUUCUUACAAUGCUUACAUGGGAGGCAAGAACCUGGAAAAUGUGAUAAAACAGUUGUUGACUGUGCUAGCAAGAAAACAGAGUUAUCAAUAAUAAUUCAAAUAACAAUUCAAGAAACUUUAAUUGACAAGAGAUAAUUGUAAAUAUCUGGGAGUACAAUUUGAGCCUUUUAAUUUAAGUAUUCAUAAUACAAUAAUAGCAUGCCCAUGAACUUAGAUAUUUGUUGUAGUUUUUUUUUUUUUUUUCCCUGAUGAGAAUUCUUUCAUUUUAAACAACAAGAAUGAUCAUUAGUUGACUGAAAUAGGUCAGGCACAGAAGGACAAAUGCUGCAUAAUAUUGAGAGCUGUUUAUUGGAAGUGAAAAAUUGAUCUUAUAAAACCCAAGAGUAGAAUAUUAGUUUCCAGAGCAGGGGAGAGAAUGUUACAAUUGAAUAUUAGGGAAAAAAAGUUCUGGUGUACUUUUUUGCAGUCUGUGACCAGAGUUGAAAAUAACACACUCUAUGUUUCAAUAAAUUUUAGAGAGAGGGAUUUGAAUGUUAUUAGAAUUCACAGUGUUGAACUCAUUUUUCACCAUUAGGAUAGCAAAGCCCCUGAGUCAGAUUGGGCUUUAGGAUGACACUGCAAUGUGAUGAAGUUUAAAAGCCCACAAAAUGUUGUGUGUGUAAACACAUUUACUAAGGUGAAAUCACAGAACGGUAGUGAGAACAGUGACCACAAGCAGAGGCUGUGGUUGGUCAUGUGGCUUAUGUUGAAAUCCUACCUGAAUGUUACCUACCUGUGAGAGUUAAAUAAACCCCUCUGUGCCUCAAUUGCUUGUUGGAAGAUGCAAAAGUGUUCAUCUGAUCCAUGUAAUGUUAUAAGGCUGACAGUGAUCACAUACAGACAGUCUUAAGAAGACUGAUGUGUCAUGUAUGUGCUAAAGAGCCAUAUCAUUAAAUAGGAUGCUUCAUUAAAUGUGUGGAAGAAUAAGCUCAAUCUUUGACAGUGUUUGAACAGAGAGGUGUCAAACAGAUGUCAUCCUCCAGGGCAGUGGGUGAAGAAAGUCUAUUCUUCAUUCUUUACAUAGAUGGAUGUUUGUAAAGCUCAUGGAGAAUAUUUAUGACCCCCUGUAACUCCAUAUCAGCAUGAAGAUAUGGGUGGAUCAGAGUCUGUCAGCCACAAUUUUGAGUUUAGGUGUUUGAAAUUUGGAGAUUUUAUGUGACUUGCCCAGAUUCACAACAGUCAUGAGUGGUGGAUGUGGGACAGGAUUGUAGUUAUUUACCUGGGACCAAAGAUCCCUGAGCCCUUGAGUCCUCUAGUGGACACCCUGGAACUAGGAACCCAGAACUCUUCUUAGUCUUUCUUAAAUGCUUCUCCUCUCAGGCCUCCUUGGUAAGAGGCCUUAGUCCCAGAGGAUUGACUGAUCCAAGAAAAAUGUUCAUGUUAUAACCCAGGCUCCUGCCUCUUCAUUACAGUUACUGACUAAAAAUAUGAUGAUUUCAUGCAAAUGAAGUCUAUCUGAAAGUCAAUAGUAGAGUCCACACUUGUGGCCAUCAUCCCCCAGGAUCGUCUCACUGCUUGCUGCCUCACAAUGAGACUUCCUGAUGAGCAGUUGACCACCCAAAUCAUCAGAGCUCUGUAGGGCUCAGAAACUGUUUUAGAAAUUGGGACAUUCUAAACCAACUGCCAUUUGAUGGCUGUGCCAAGAAUGAAGUUUCCUUCUGCUUUUCCCACCUGGGGUGGCCUGUUAAUGUGAAUUAAUUUGGGGAAACAGAUACCCUGGCUUAUGCUUUGGUGUUUCAGUGUCGUAAAUUGUCCUGACCCCAUGUCUGCAUACUAAUAUUCUGAGCCAUCAUCUGAGCAGCCAGACAAAGGUCUGGCUGAAAACAUCAUUGCUGCAGGUACACCAACUCUGAUCAGGCAUAUUCUUGCUCCUGGCCUUAGAUGCCUCUAUCUAGACCCUGCAGAGCCAGGAGCCAAAGACUAUCUGCCUCACAUGAACCCACCAAUAACUACAACCUGUGAACCUCCACCAAUGAAUUCUCCAUAAAGAGCACCAAAGCCUUCAUUUUUUCUGUUCUCAGAUGUCCACUCCACUGACCUCAUGGCACUGUCCUUCCUGCCUCCUUCCCAGGAGCCCCCACACACCAGGGAUUUUGUAGACAUCAACCACUUGGAAACUUUCCCCAAAAUCUCAGUCCUUUUUUCUUCAUACUAAUGUCUUGAUUUAGACUUCUCUAAUAUUAUUUUUAGAUGUUAAUAUACAUUCAGAUGAGUUUGGCCUCUAGUUGCCCUUUCAUGGGAUAUAUAUUGCCAUUCUUAGCAUCCAUAUACUCUCUUUCACUUUAUUUCUUGAUCUCAUGAAAGCAAGGUGGAUGUUGUCCCCCUUUUUGUUUAUUUGCUUCAAGAGUACACAUGAUGCUGGCAUUAGGAAAUGUCCAUUUUACUAAAUUUAGAAAAAUAGUUUUGGUAACCAGGUCAAUAGAACAAGCAAAUAUAUAAAUUGAGUGAUAAAACAAAAUCACAAAAUAUUUAAAUCUCAGCAGAGAAGAUUCAGUGUGGGAAAUUAAAAAAAUCAAUAGUAAAAUGUAUUUAGUAAAUGUUAUUUGAUCCCUUUGAACAUACAGUCUUGAAAAUAUCAUUGUCAACAUACCUUCACCGCAGCACUUUAGAUUUCCCAUGACUGACUAGCAUUUCAAAAAUUCCCUAUGCUUCUCCAACUUUAACACCAACUCACUCACCACAGCAACUGACAGUUGACAUGGAAGGUAAAAUGUGCAUCCCAAAUUACCAUUAUAGAAUUUUCAUUGUGAGCACAUGUCACAUUAUGUGGUACUGCUGUUCUCUAAAUAAGCAUAUUUUACAUGUCCAAGUGUGUUGUUGAACAGUCUGUGUGUUGCUUCAAAUACUGAAACCUAGGCCCACAUAUUAAUAUUCUGUUUAUGAAAAUAAGUUAAAUCCAAAAAAAUAUUAUUCUCCCCAAAUAAUUUAAUUGAUUAUAAUAAUCUAUUGUGAAAGGAGGCAUAGCUACAAUUUUGAGAAUCAAGAGGUUCCCUUCCUGGUUUGAAAUGCCAUCCCUCCACAUUUCCCACCCUUUCUGAAUCUCCAGACAUAUGUAGAUAGAAAAAUUUAAAACUUCUUUUAGAUUCAGAAUGAAAUAUAUUCAAAGUAUUAUCAUGUAAUAGGGGAGAGAUUUUCAGGGUGGGAGAAUUUCAAGAUUACAUCCCCCAUAUUUGAAAUUUGAAAACAAAAUUAUUUUCUAUUUAGUAUUAUUUAAUUCAGUCAUUUGAAUUCAUCUUUUCUUCCAUGACUCCUGCUGAUGAAUUGGUUCUUUUGCUUAUCAUCUGACUCUGUCAUCUCAUGCCACAAGAACACAUGAUUGAAGAUGCCCAUGAUGAGGUCCAAACUAACAAAAUAUGAAAUAACUCCACAUUGUAAAGGCUAUCUAUGCUAAGCCCAAUGCAAACGUUAUUCUAACUGAGAAAAACUGGAAGCAUUUCCUCUAAAAACUGGAACAAGACAGGGAUGUCCUCUUCCACCACUUCUAUCCAACAUAAUCCUUAAAGCUCAGAGCAAUCAGAUGAAAGAAAUUAAAGGGAUACACAUAGGGAAAAAAGAACUCAAACUAUGACUAUUUUGCUGGCAAUAUGCUUCUAUAUGUAGAAGAUCCAAAAAAUCCCCCCAGAAACCUACUAGAACUAAUAAAUGAAUUCAACAAAGUAGGAGGAGAUAAAAUCACUACCCCAUAAAUCAAAUGCAUUUCUAUAAAUAAGUGAUGAAUCCACUGCAAGAAAAAGUAGGAAAACUAUUCCAUUCACAAUAGAAAAAGAAACCACAAACUUCAUUUGGAAAAAUAAGAGGCCAAGAAUAGUCAAAGCAAUCCUCUACAAGAAGAGUGAAUCAGGAGGCAUCACAAUACCAGACCUUAAACUUUACUACAGAGCCAUAGUAACAAAGAUAGCAUGGUAAUAAUACCAAAGUACACAUGUAGACAAUGGUACAAAAUAGAAAACACCACAUAAAUAUGACUAUCUCAUAUUAGACUAAGGCACCAAAAACAUAGAUUAUAAAAAAGAUAGCCUCUUCACCAAAUGAUACUGGGAAAACUGGAAAUUCAUAUGUAGCAAAUGAAAUUAAAACUCUAUCUCUCACCCUGCAAAAAAACUAACUCAAAGUGGAUCAAGACAGUAGAACAGAGACCCUGCACCUAAGAUAAGAAAAAGUAGACCAAGUACCACAUGGACCUGUGUAUACUGGAGCAGCCACUGGCAUCAAGAGAAUCAGUGUUAUUCCCUCUGUGGACCCCAUGCCAUAGAGGUGCCUCUGACCCUGAAAGCAGAUUAAGCCCAGCGUAGGUCACAGGCUACUGGACCAUCCUGCUGCUGCUAGACUUGGCAGUAGAUUCCCAUGGUAGAGGCCUCAACUGGGAGUGGACUUUAGGCACAGGAGCCUGACCAUGAAGCAGUCUGUCCAACCUGAAGAGCCUUUGGAGCAGGUAAGAAGUCUUGUAGGGAUGUGGGAGUCUCAGCUGAAGCUGGGAAUGGUUGGUAGAGAAAGAGGGCAGCAUAGGCGGCAAAAGGGAUGAGAAAGAAGGGUCAGCCUGAGAGACUGGCCUGAAGUACUGAUUUUUUAAUCCUUUGUGGGUUUGUUUGAAUUAAUUGUCAACAUUGUAUUGAAGUAUUACUUAUCUCGGUUCCUCCAGCUUUUUGCCCCAAGGAGAGUGACUCCCUCACUCCCCUUAGUCCAUUGGUAGUGUCUUCCAUUUGCACAGGGUUCAGGCUUUACACUUCUCCUUCUCCCCCUUUUCUCUUGGUUGUGCUGUUAUGUCAGCAUCCUUAUGGUUUGGCUGAGCUACUGAAGAUGGGAAGCAGGGAUCCCGUCAUCAAACUCUCAGCCAAGGAUCCUCAACCAGGGCUGCAUCCUGAGGUUGCCUCUGCCCCAGACAUGUAGAUGUAUGAUCAUGUCUUGCAUUUUGUGACACAAAGGUAAGUGCUGGGGUGGGAACCCAGUGUUUGGCCCAUGAGAAGCCCCUCUCUACCACUGAGCUACAUCCCCAGCUCUGUCCUAUGAUGGUCUAAGAGAAGGAGUGUUCUGCAAAGCCCUCCUCUGAUAAUGAAGUGAGGGUUUGGCUUGUUCUCCCCCAAAGAUAUUCACUUACUAUCUUUUUCAUAAACAUUUCCUGGGUACCAGGCCUGGAGAAAACAGAGCUGGCCUGAGCCAAGGGACAUAUCUAGUCAUGGGGGACAGACUCUUGAUCCUUUCUAGGAGUAAUAGAUCUAGAGAAGGGGUGCUUCCUCUAUGGGUUGAUGCCCAAGCUGGUCUCAGAGAUUAAUGGGUGCUAGCUAGUGAUGAGGUAGAUAAGCAGAGGUACCAGUGUUCCAUGGAGAGGGGAGGUGGGUGGGCACCCAGGGACACAGGAAGCUGUUGGGCCAAAGUAGGUAGAACACCUAGGUCUGGUAUCCCGGAUUGGUUCUGCAGUCCGGAUGCAGUCUUUGGAGGAUUUAAGUAGAAUAAUGUCAGUGUCAAAUUUGUGUUUUGGAAAAAAUGAAAGGGUUUGGAGGCUGGUGUGAGGCCAGAUUUGAGUCUAAGUACAGAGACAGAAGACAUAGAUGGGGCAGCAGCAGUGAGGGGUCUGGGUGGUGUUGAACUGGGACCACAGCCUGCUCCUGGGGAUGGAGAGAAUGUGCUGGUCCAUAUGCCAAAAUUGCUAUGAAAUUGACAAAUGAAUUUAGAGCAAUAAUACCUGGGAGGAAUGGGUUCUUUCACAGACUGUUUGUAAGGGCCUCAAUGUACAACAAAUUCAGUAAUAUGAAGCAAGUCAUGAAAGAAAAUGGGUUUAUCUAAAGUGUGUAAUUCCACUUCUUGAAAUUUAUCCUCAGGGGGAAUUAAAGCCACAACCAAAGAUUUUACAAACAAGGCCAUCUAUCUAGCUCAAUGUUAUUAACAAUGGGAGAAAAUUGGAACUAUCCUAAAUAUCCAUGAGAAAGAGUGAGACAAAGCAGUAUGGCACAUCCAUCAUAAAGCAUCUUACACAAACCCUCAAAAUUAGAUUUCUGAAAGAUGGAAUCCAGCAACAAG